CUUUUAUCACAAUAUGCAAAUUUUUUGAGAAGGACCUGUAUUACCUUAAAGAAAUAGAACAUUUACUGAAAAUGUGCUUACUCUUAUCCAAUUUGUAGAUGAGUUUGUUUCAUCCUCGGAACAGUUGCUCACCAAUGAAUCCUCUGCAGUGAAUGGGUGCCGUCUGAAUGAGAGUCCAAACAGCUGAUAAAAACAUCACAAUAAUCCACAAGUAUUCCACACAACUUCAGUCCAUCAAUUAACAUCUUGUGUAAUGAAAAGCAGUGUUUGAUAGAAACAAAUUAUUCUCAUUCAUUUCAAACCAUUGCUUCUGACUAAAAUGCAGGUUCUCUGUCCAUAAUAUUGCCUUUCUCCAGUUUUACUAUUGUAGGGGAAUUACAGUUAAACCCCAACCCCAGCAAGACCAAUGUGCUCAGUGAAGACCAGAGUCAAAUUUGAAGUUCAGUCAGUUGACAGAGAAUUUAUGAAGACAUAGUUCUCCACACGUUCAAAGGCCAUAGAAAAUUAGAUCUUGAAGACACAAAAUUCCAUUCUUAAGCAACUAUUGUAAAGGUCGUAGUAGGAACAAUUAUGGCAUAUUCCCCUGGCAUAGUUGCAUCAAGUUGAAACAAGUCAUCCAUAUAACGCCGUUGCUGGUGAUCAGGCAUAGAAGAGUUUAUAUUUUUGAGGCAGAUUGCUUAGGAGAUGUACCCUCAAGAACCAUCAGUGCCAGUGGGACCAGUAAUCAGAGCAAUAUUUAAUCACUAAAAUCCAUUAGACAUCUUUUAAAACAAUAAAAUAGCAUUACUGAUAUUAUACUCCGUGAGUUUAGAUAUCACAACCUGUCCAGUCCGUGUAAUGUUCUGCUACCUCUGUAGAGGGAGCCAUCAGGCCCUGUAUCAGAUGAGACAAAGAAGCUAUUGGUCACAGAGCAAGGAAGAGAACCACUGAAUGUAACAUGAAUUCAACAGACCUCUCUUUCUUCAACAAUAGUCCAUAGUUUUAAUUUACUAUUAUUUAAACCUCUCAUCUCUUAGAGGCAUUUGAGAAAUUAAAACUAUUAAUUACCAUUUGUGCUGUGAAUGGAUAAAAUCCUAACAUAGAAUUUUUGAAACACCUUUAGUGUGUCUAUGGUUUUCAGCUGUGCUGUGCUUUACUAUAAAUGGUGUUAUCACUUAUGACAGGUUCAGGUAAAAGCAUUUAGCUGACUUUUGAAUGAGAGAGAGAGAGCUCUGAAGCACUCAGGACUGUUAACAACACAUUUUCAUAAACCUUUAACUUCAUCAACUUUAGAUUCUAG
ensembl:lncRNA